AAUCAGCGGCCACGGGUUGGUAUUUUCGUUUCUCGCGGGGCGGCUGUACAAUUUACGGGAGCAAUGAAAAUUCCGUGAAUGCAACAGGGUCAAGUGAUGGCAAGGACAACAACCGUAUGAGUGUUAAGCUUUUUCGUUUAUUGAAAAUAUCUCUGUAAAACGUGUGUAUAUUGUGGCCGGGCGAGACCACAGAUUACGUACGAACAGGCAGGUGCAUGUAGCAGAAACGAAACGGAGAAGGAAACGAAAUGGGUGUUCAGUGUGAUGCGACAAGAUGGCCGUCGGUUGAUAUACGCGCGGACUGUGAGGGCUACGGUGAGAGGAGGAAUUCUAUGAUGCUCGCAUGUAACGGCUGAUGUGAGUCUGAAUUGGAUCAUGAUAAUCUUUCCACCAUCCCGACACGUCAAACAUACGGACGUAUUGACAUGAUUUCGGCAUCAUGGAUGUCGCUGUGUACAGCUAGGUAAAGUACGUACGCUCGCCGGUGACGGACACGGUCGUGACACACGUACCUUCCGCGGGCUUUCCUGGUAGGCAUAAGUAAACUGGCCAUUAGCGGCGCGAGAGACCUUAAGAAAAAAACAAGAAAAGACAUCUCCUACCAAACGGCUCGUAACGUGGUCUAAUUGUGUACACCAAGGAGGCACUCGAUACGGAUAUAUAUGUAUAUGUAUAUAUCUAUGUAUAUAUAUAUAUAUGUAUAUAAAGAAAAUGUACAAGAAAAGUAUGUUUCAUGUAGACAGCUAGCAACAAGCGCAACAAUGACACAGAGCAAGGUCGGUUUCGCAUUACGCGGAGGAUGAUUUUACAGCUUGCCGCGGCGGACUGGGUUACAGAGAUGUUUUUAGAAUUCGUGGCUCAAGAAAUGGAGACACGAAGAUCGGUAUGGUCUUCGAUUUUGGGCUUGGUGUCCUUUCAUUGAUCAUUCUUGAACAAAGUAAUUUGAGCAAUUUCCUUCGAAUAGGAUGAAUCCUUUGCAUUCGAGAGGCGACUCAUCACUUGAUUUGAUGCAGUAAAACUAUCAAAUUUGAUAUUUAACCCCUUGGCGUACUAUUUACUGUUACUACUAAGCUCGUGUAAUAUUUUACUA